rnacentral:rRNA from 1 species
GACGAACGCUGGCGGCGUGCCUAAUACAUGCAAGUUGAGCGCUGAAGGUUGGUACUUGUACCAACUGGAUGAGCAGCGAACGGGUGAGUAACGCGUGGGGAAUCUGCCUUUGAGCGGGGGACAACAUUUGGAAACGAAUGCUAAUACCGCAUAAAAACUUUAAACACAAGUUUUAAGUUUGAAAGAUGCAAUUGCAUCACUCAAAGAUGAUCCCGCGUUGUAUUAGCUAGUUGGUGAGGUAAAGGCUCACCAAGGCGAUGAUACAUAGCCGACCUGAGAGGGUGAUCGGCCACAUUGGGACUGAGACACGGCCCAAACUCCUACGGGAGGCAGCAGUAGGGAAUCUUCGGCAAUGGACGCAAGUCUGACCGAGCAACGCCGCGUGAGUGAAGAAGGUUUUCGGAUCGUAAAACUCUGUUGGUAGAGAAGAACGUUGGUGAGAGUGGAAAGCUCAUCAAGUGACGGUGACUACCCAGAAAGGGACGGCUAACUACGUG